UACAGAGGGGGCAAGCGUUAUUCGGAAUUAUUGGGCGUAAAGCGUGCGUAGGCGGCUGCGCAAGUCGGGUGUGAAACCCCGGGGCUCAACCCCGGAACUGCAUCCGAUACUGCGUGGCUAGAGGUAGGUAGGGGAGAUCGGAAUUCCUGGUGUAGCGGUGAAAUGCGUAGAUAUCAGAAGGAACAUCAGUGGCGAAGGCGGCUUCCUGGACCAAUACUGACGAUCAGGUGCGAAAGCGUGGGGGAGCAAACAGG
rnacentral:rRNA from 1 species